UACAGAGGUCCCAAGCGUUGUUCGGAUUCAUUGGGCGUAAAGGGUGCGUAGGCGGCGCGGUAAGUCGGGUGUGAAAUCUCGGAGCUUAACUCCGAAACUGCAUUCGAUACUGCCGUGCUUGAGGACUGGAGAGGAGACUGGAAUUUACGGUGUAGCGGUGAAAUGCGUAGAUAAUCUGGAGGAACACCGGUGGCGAAGGCGGCAUCCUGGACCAACACUGACGCUGAGGAGCGAAAGCCAGGGGAGCAAACGGGG
rnacentral:rRNA from 1 species